rnacentral:rRNA from 1 species
CACCGCGGUUAUACGAGGGGCCCAAGUUGACUGACCUUCGGCGUAAAGGGUGGUUUAAUCGACAUAAAACUAAAGCUGAACCCUCUCAAAGCUGUUAUACGCACUCGGGAGAGAGAAACUCUUACACGAAGGUAGCUUUAACACUAUUGACCCCACGAAAGCUGCGGAA